AACGUAGGACACAAGCGUUAUCCGGAGUUACUGGGCGUAAAGGGCGUGUAGGCGGACGUGUAAGUCUAUUCUGAAAGCUCCUGGCUAAACUGGGAGAGGCGAAUGGAGACUGCAUAUCUAGAGUGAGGAAGAGGAAAGUGGAAUUCCGCGUGUAGUGGUGAAAUGCGUAGAGAUGUGGAGGAACACCGAUGGCGAAGGCAGCCCCCUGGGUCAAGAUUGACGCUCAUGCACGAAAGCGUGGGGAGCAAACAGG
rnacentral:rRNA from 1 species